AGAGAGAGAGGUGAGGGGAUACACAGCCACUGGGUCAUGGGUCAGAGGGGAAAAAAAAACAGUCCUGACGAGAGAACCUUUUCUUCACAAAUUAAACUUAGCCACCGCACCUUCAGGGCUGUGACGCUACAAAAGGAAAGCAAUUUCAAGGUCCUCUGGCAGCACAACUGUCUUCUGAAAUCAGUAGCCGAGGGACGACAUAGAAACUAGGCAGUGGGAAUACUGCAAGGGGGACUACUGGAGCUCUACUCUCUCAUUCAGAGCCAAUCUCCCCCGUCUCUCACCCUACUCGCCAGGUUAACUGUCCUGAUGACUGCAGUAAGAUUCUCUCAUUCAGAGCCAAUCUCCCCCGUCUCUCCCCCCUACUCACCAGGUUAACUGUCCUGAUGACUGCAGUAAGAUUCUCUCAUUCAGAGCCAAUCUCCCCUGUCUCUCCCCCUACUCACCAGGUUAACUGUCCUGAUGACUGCAGUAAGAUUCUCUCAUUCAGAGCCAAUCUCCCCCGUCUCUCCCCCUACUCACCAGGUUAACUGUCCUGAUGACUGCAGUAAGAUUCUCUCAUUCAGAGCCAAUCUCCCCCGUCUCUCCCCCUACUCGCCAGGUUAACUGUCCUGAUGACUGCAGUAAGAUUCUCUCAUUCAGAGCCAAUCUCCCCCGUCUCUCCCCCCUACUCACCAGGUUAACUGUCCUGAUGACUGCAGUAAGAUUCUCUCAUUCAGAGCCAAUCUCCCCUGUCUC